UUUUUGACUGGUUUUGAUUCCAUAUAAAAUACAUAUAUCUAUGAAUCUCUAGUGUCUUCCGCCACAUCAAGUACUCUGCAGCCUUGCUGACUCACUGUCCUUAUCAGCUCUCUGCUCUCUCUCCCCACCAACUCAUCUCUCUCCCUCUCCCUCUCCCUCUCCCUCUCUCUCUCUCUCUCUGGUGCAGUGCAGGUAAAACUACACAUGCAGAAGUGUUCUCCCAUUUUAUUUCUGUAAUUUGUGAUCGUUUUUCCUCGUCUCUAUAAAUUUGGAGUUAUACAUGUGUCUUCUAAUGCAUUUCUUUGUUAUUGUCGUCAGCUUAGUAUAAAUACCGAGAGUUUUCGAUGGAGGCUAGCUAAGGAACCAACGUCUGCAUGUGUUCUUCUUCAUCAAUAACUCUACUCUCAAUAAGCUCAAACUCUUCAGCUGAUCAUAUUUUGUGCUUUAUCUGAUGGAAAUCCUUGUUCGGAAUCCUUUUUACUAUCCUGAUUUUGAACAACUAUACGAAAGGCUACACCCUCCAAGGGUCUGUAUUGACAAUGAUACCUGCCAAGACUGCACUCUCGUAAAGGUU